UCCAAGGUAAAAGAUGGCAUUGGUUGGAGAAGAUGCCAAGAGACCAACAAUAGCCAUGGAGGCUGAGGUGUGGGCUGGUGAACAGAGGAAAUUGUGGCAUGGAAAUCCCACUUCCCACAACGUUUAGCCUGGGCUAUCUAUCAUGGCAGUGCUCCUCAUAAGGUUCACUGAUGAAGCUGGGUGUAACUGCAUAUGAUGUGUCCCAUCAACAUACACUGUAUGCAUAGUCUCUGGCUGAGGGAACUCAAGUGAAAAUCCGUUUCAGUUGGUCUGAGUUAUGAGCUGUCGGCGUGUGUCCAUGACCCAAGAAAGAGACCCAAGGGCUCCUUGCUGACUGUGUUGAAGGAUGUGCUCAGUUCAUUGAGUGCACCUGGCAUAUUGGACUCCAAGACUCCUUGGCUUCCUUCUAGAAGUCGUCCUUUCUCUUUUCUGGCACAGACUGGACUCAUUUUUCUUCUCUGCUUUUCAUCCCUUCUUUGUUGGGUCUCAUUCUGGGACCAUCUACACUCUGCAUUAUUUACUCCUGGGUGGUAUCAUUGUGAGCUUUCAGAAGCAGUGGUCUUAAGUCAUCAUGAAGAAGCUUGUAAUUGGAUGCUUCUUGUGGAAACACACAGCUGAGGGGCUGACGGACCCUGGACUAUAUAACUGGAAAAGGGGAAUUGAGAAUACAUUCAUCCUUCUGCUUCCUGAGUGUGGAUGUGGUGUGACCAGCCAUUGCAAGGCCCUGCAGCCUUGAUUUCUCUGCCUGGAUGAUCCACAGAGAUGCCAGAGUUCCAGACAGCCAGGACUACAAUGGAACAACCGGCUACUCCAGAUGUGGCAACACCCCAGCUUUCUCAGGUUUCCCCAAAGAUGGUUGAUGCCCCCAGGUCAGCAGGAAGCAGUCUUAAGAACUCAAUGUCCUUGAUCCUGAACCUGCCACAUCUAACACCCCCGUCUCUUUUUAAUCAUAAAUAAAGAU